rnacentral:lncRNA from 1 species
CUGGAGUGAGAUGAAAUCUUAGAGUAGUUUUGAUUUGUAUUCUCUAAUUGCUAGAGAUUAUUUUUUCAUUUAUUUGUUGAUUGAUUAUAUAUCUUCUUCUGAGAAGUAUCUGUUCAGCUCCUUGCCCACUUAUUGGGUUAUUUAUAUUUUUGAUGUUAAAUUUUUUGAGCUGUUUUUAUAUCCUGGAGAUUAGCAUUCUAUUUGAUAUGUGUGUGGUAAAAAUUUGCUCCCAUUCUGUAUCUCUCUCUUCACAUUGUUGAUUGUUUCCUUUGCUGAAAAGAAGCUUUCAGUUUCUACAAUUCCCAUUUAUUGAUUCUUGAUUUUAUUUCUUGCGUUUCAGAAGUUUUAUUAAGGAAGUCAAGAGCUAAUCUAACAUAAUAAAAAUCUGGGCCUACUUUUUCUUCUGUUAGGCAUAGGGUCUCUGGUUUAAUUCCUAGGUCUUUGAUCCACUUUGAGUUGAGUGUUGUGUAUGGUGUGAGAUAGAGGCUUAAUUUCAUUGUGCUGCAUAUGGCUUUCCAGUUUUCCCAGCGCCAUUUGUUGAAGAGGCUAUCUUUUUUUUCUCCAAUGUAUGUUUUUGGUGCCUUUGUCUAGUAUGAGAUAACUAUAUUUACAUUGGUUUGUCUCUGUGUACAAUAUUCUUUACCAUUGGUUGGACAUUUUUUUGAUCCAGUUUAGUUGGCUAUUUGAUAUUUGUAUGUGAGUAAAUUCCUUUGUUUCCUACCAUGUUUUGAAUAUGUCCCCUACAAAAUUCAGGUGUUGAGACACAAAAGCAAGUAUAGCAGUAUAAAGAGGAAGAACUUUAAAGAGAUGAGUAGAUCAUGGGGACCCACCCCUUGUGAGUGGGAUUAGGUAUCCUUACAAAGGGCUUGGCUGAGAGAGUUCAUUUCUUUUGCCCUUCCUCCUUCUGCUAUAUAGAGACACAUCCCUCAACAGACAACCUAAUCUGCCAGUACUUUGAUCUUGUAUUCCCCAGCCUCCAGAACCAUGAGAAAAUAAAUGUCUGUUCUUUAUAAGCUGCCUAGUCUGUGAUAUUCUGUUAUAGCAACACAAAACAAAUUAAUACAUAAUCUCCCCCAUCAGAGUCAUUACAGGAUGUUUCUGUGGAAAAUUCUUUGGGGUUGUAAUACCUGCCUGAGAUCAUUGGGGAUUGAGGGUGACACCAGAGAAUAAAG